rnacentral:tRNA from 1 species
GGUCGCUUGGCUCAGCUGGUUAGAGCGUCGCAUUCACAUUGCGAAGGUCGGGGGUUCGAGUCCCUCAGCGACCA